UGGGGAAUCUUGGACAAUGGGCGCAAGCCUGAUCCAGCCAUGCCGCGUGAGUGAAGAAGGCCUUCGGGUUGUAAAGCUCUUUUUACCAGGGACGAUAAUGACGGUACCUGGAGAAUAAGCCCCGGCAAACUUCGUGCCAGCAGCCGCGGUAAUACGAAGGGGGCUAGCGUUGUUCGGAAUUACUGGGCGUAAAGCGCACGUAGGCGGAUUGUUAAGUCAGAGGUGAAAUCCCGGAGCUCAACUUCGGAACUGCCUUUGAUACUGGCAAUCUAGAGUCCGGAAGAGGUUAGUGGAAUUCCCAGUGUAGAGGUGAAAUUCGUAGAUAUUGGGAAGAACACCAGUGGCGAAGGCGGCUAACUGGUCCGGUACUGACGCUGAGGUGCGAAAGCGUGGGGAGCAAACAGGAUUAGAUACCCUAGUAGUCCCUGAGCGGGCUGGCAAGGCGCAU
rnacentral:rRNA from 1 species